UGGGGGAUAGUUUAACGGUAGAACAACUGGCUCUGACCCGGUUAGUCUUGGUUCGAAUCCAGGUCCCCCAGCCA
rnacentral:tRNA from 3 species